rnacentral:rRNA from 1 species
AGAGUUUGAUCAUGGCUCAGAACGUACGCUGGCGGCACGCCUAAUACAUGCAAGUCGAACGAAGUAGCAAUACUUAGUGGCAGACGGGUGAGUAACAUGUGGGUAUCUUCCCUUUGGUGAGGAAUAACACGAGGAAACUUGUGCUAAUACCUCAUAAGUCUUUACGGAGAAAGCUUUAUGCGCCAUUGGAUGAGCCCGCACUUGAUUAGUUUGUUGGUGGGGUAAUGGCCUACCAAGACAAUGAUCAAUAGCUGAUUUGAGAGGAUGAUCAGCCACAUUGGGACUGAGACACGGCCCAAACUUCUACGGAAGGCAGCAGUAGGGAAUCUUGCACAAUGGAGGAAACUCUGAUGCAGCGAUGCCGCGUGAGUGAAGAAGGCCUUUGGGUUGUAAAGCUCUUUCGUCGGGGAAGAAAAUGACUGUACCCGAAUAAGAAGGUCCGGCUAACUUCGUGCCAGCAGCCGCGGUAAUACGAAGGGACCUAGCGUAGUUCGGAAUUACUGGGCUUAAAGAGUUCGUAGGUGGUUAAAAAAGUUGGUGGUGAAAUCCCAGAGCUUAACUCUGGAACUGCCAUCAAAACUUUUUAGCUAGAGUAUGAUAGAGGNAAAGCAGAAUUUCUAGUGUAGAGGUGAAAUUCGUAGAUAUUAGAAAGAAUACCAAUUGCGAAGGCAGCUUUCUGGAUCAUUACUGACGCUGAGGAACGAAGCAUGGGUAGCGAAAAG